rnacentral:tRNA from 1 species
GGAGGUAUACCCAAGUGGCUGAAGGGGGCGGUCUUGAAAACCGCAAGGCGUGAGAGCGCGCGUGGGUUCAAAUCCUACUACCUCCGCCA